rnacentral:lncRNA from 1 species
UCUUUCACCGUUUUCAUUCACUCUGUCUUAGGCUCAGUGUCUUAAGUUUUGGAAUGCUAAAAGCAGCUUUUGCUGUGCUUUAUUUCAGGGAGAACAGUUAAGUGGUUCACCUUCAUCAAAAUGGACCAUGUUUGUUCCCAUCAGACAGCUAGAGAGAGAGGAAGGAUUCCUGUUGGCAUGCGCAUUGGUAAAAGUUGGAUCUCACUCUGAACAUAAGGAUCUGAAUUGCAUCUAUUGGCAGGACUAAAAGCAGUGCUAUGUCAAGAUAGUGUAACAACCAGGGAGUUGCAGAUGCCAAGCACAGACCCACUUCUCCAGCGGAAGGCAGUGACAUGACCCAAAUGGAAGCACAAGGCUCAUAUGGUUACAUUCAAUGAUCAGUUCUCCAUGGACGGAUUGUGACCCCCCAGAAAGGUUACAAAGGGAGGAGAAUAAUCCAGAGGCAGUUCAUCUGGAGAGCCAUAAGCAAGGCAAACCGUCUCCAUCCUGCCCUGCACAAAUGAAGCCACCUAUCCUGCUCUCUCUGCAAUAUCGAGUCUGUACUGGGGGGCAUUGCCACAAUGCACGUGGUUUUCAUCACUGCUAAGAAGUUUUCAGUUCUGCCACCAGACGGAAGGAAACGCGCGCACCCAGAUCCCACUCCAGCAGCGCCACAGUCCUGUUGUUUUCUGUUGACUUCUGUGAAACUACCUGUGCUUGAAGAUCACCGUGUGGUUUUGCAUCUCGCUGAACUGAAGCCUAAGCAAACUCCAGAAAGUCAAACUGGGAGAUGCUGGCCGAGCCCAGCACAGCACUCCGGCUUCCUGGCUGUCCACUUCAGGACCCCAAAUUCAAGCUAUUUUGUCCUCAACAGAUUUGCCCCCGAACUGUCUCUAGGACGUGCCCGGCCUCUGUAGGAAAGGUGGGGGCUGCAAGAAGAAUUUUUUCAUGCAGCAUUUCAACAUUUGCGACCCAAACCAGGAAAGCGCGUAAGGGAGGCAACAGAGGAAAGUCAUGGGACCUCAGAAAUGCCAGAGUGAUGUUUGGACAGAGAUCUGGGCUAGAAUUUGGGGUCGUUCUUAUGUUAGUCAAAAAAAGUGCUUCUCCCUCUUAAGAACACAGCUUCCUUUUAAUAAAUGCCAAGGUGGCUUCA